GUCUAUGGCCAUGUCACCCUAAACAAACUUGUUCGUGUCUGAUCUCGGAAGCUAAGCAGGGUUGAGCCUGGUUAGUACUUGGAUAGGAGACCACCUAGGAAGACCAGAUGCUGUAGGCG
ensembl:rRNA 5S_rRNA 5S ribosomal RNA